rnacentral:sRNA from 1 species
UUAGUGAAUUUUAGGGUGCUCUUUACUUCGGUAAAGAGGCCUGACCUCCACUCUCCAACACUGUGCACUAUUCGGCUCGAUUUCGAAGGCGCGCGAGCGCUGGAUUAGUCGAGCGGCUUCAUUUUAAACUCCAAGUUAAAGAAUGUAACCAAAAACAAAACUAAAAAAAACUUUCAACAACGGAUCUCUUGGCUCUCGCAUCGAUGAAGAACGCAGCGAAAUGUGAUAAGUAAUGUGAAUUGCAGAAUUCAGUGAACCAUCGAAUCUUUGAACGCACCUUGCGCUCUCUGGUAUUCCGGAGAGCAUGCCUGUUUGAGUGUCAUGAACUCUUCAACCCACCAGUUUCUAGUAAAUUGGAUGGCGUGUGGAUUUUGAGUGUUGCUGGUCCUUUCGGACGUAGCUCAUUCGUAAUACAUUAGCAUCUCAAUUUCGAACUUCGGAUUGACUCAGCGUAAUAGACUAUUCGCUGAGGACACCUCACGGUGGCCGAAUAAGAAGACAGUUAGAAGCUUCUAAUCAGAUCUUAGUCGACUUUUAGAUUAGACCUCAGAUCAGGCAGGAUUACCCGCUGAACUUAAGCAUAUC